rnacentral:lncRNA from 1 species
AAAAAAAAUAGUCAAUAGGUGGCUGAGCAUGCUUGAGCAUGCUUAAAGGAUAUCUGCAGAUUUUCUUCACACACAUACACUAUUCCAUUUUUCUUUUUUAAUGUUGGUAGAUAGAUAGAAAAAUAGGGGUUUGUAAAGUGAAGUAUAAACAGAAGCAAUAAUUCUUGUCUUGGAAUUUCUAUAUCUGUAAUAUUGUAUUGCGUUUUUAAAUAAAAACAACUCCCGGGUUUUGUUAAUAUCGCGUGUUUAUAAAACUACUCGAUAUCAUGCUUCCUUGCUUAGCUAAAAUAAUUCUAAAUUAAAUCCGUAGAUUUAAUUCUUCAUAAGCCGGAAUAAAUUCACGACUCAAGAAAUAAUAAUAAAAAUAGAAAAAUAAUUCUAUUGUGAUUAAUAAAUAACAUGACUUCG